UACGUAGGUGGCGAGCGUUGUCCGGAAUUACUGGGUGUAAAGCGCGCGUAGGCGGGAGGCCAAGUCCGCUGUGAAAUCGCCCGGCUCAACUGGGCGCGGUCGGUGGAAACUGGUCACCUGGAGGACGGUAGAGGCGAGUGGAAUUCCCGGUGUAGUGGUGAAAUGCGUAGAGAUCGGGAGGAACACCAGUGGCGAAGGCGGCUCGCUGGGCCGGCCCUGACGCUGAGGCGCGAAGGCGUGGGGAGCGAACGGG
rnacentral:rRNA from 1 species